rnacentral:rRNA from 1 species
GAUGAACGCUGGCGGCGUGCUUAUCACAUGCAAGUCGAACGGUGAAGCUCCAGCUUGCUGGAGUGGAUCAGUGGCGAACGGGUGAGUAACACGUGAGCAACCUGCCCCUGACUCUGGGAUAACAGCCGGAAACGGCUGCUAAUACCGGAUAUGCACCAUGAACGCAUGUUCUGUGGUGGGAAAGAUUUUUCGGUUGGGGAUGGGCUCGCGGCCUAUCAGCUUGUUGGUGAGGUAAUGGCUCACCAAGGCGUCGACGGGUAGCCGGCCUGAGAGGGUGACCGGCCACACUGGGACUGAGACACGGCCCAGACUCCUACGGGAGGCAGCAGUGGGGAAUAUUGCACAAUGGGCGAAAGCCUGAUGCAGCAACGCCGCGUGAGGGAUGACGGCCUUCGGGUUGUAAACCUCUUUUAGCAGGGAAGAAGCGAGAGUGACGGUACCUGCAGAAAAAGCGCCGGCUAACUACGUG